AGCUACACAACGAGAUGAGGAUUGUCUUUAUCAAUUUCUGAGCUGAGAACGGGCAUAAAGCUACACAACGAGAUGAGGAUGGUCAUUGUCAUUUUCUGAGCUGCGAACGGGCAUAAAGCUAGACAACGAGAUGAGGAUUGUCUUUGUCAAUUUCUGAGCUGCGAACAGGCAUAAAGCUACACAACGAGAUGAGGAUGGUCAUUUUCAUUUUGGGAGCUGCGAACAGGCGUGAAGCUACACAACGAGAUGAUGAUUGUCUUUGUCAAUUUGUGAGCUGCGAACAGGAAUAAAGCUACACAACGAGCUGAGGAUUGUCAUUGUCAAUUUCUGAGCUGCGAACGGGCAGAAAGCUACACAACGGGAUAAGGACUGUCUUUGUCAAUUUCUGAGCUUCGAACAGGCAUGAAGCUACACAACGAGAUGAGUAUUGUCUUUGUCAAUUUCUGAGCUGAGAACAGUCAUAAAGCUACACAACCAGAUGAGGAUGGUCAUUUUCAUUUUGUGAGCUGUGAACGGGCAGAAAGCUACACAACGAGAUAAGGAUUGUUUUUGUCAAUGUCUGAGCUGCGAACGGGCAGAAAGCUACACAACAAGAUGAGGAUUGUCUUUGUCAAUUCCUGAGCUUCGAACAGGCAUAAAGCUACACAACCAGAUGAGGAUGGUCAUUGUCAUUUUGUGAGCUGCGAACGGGCAGAAAGCUCCACAACGAGAUGAGGGUGGUCUUUGUCAAUUUCUGAGCUGCGAACAAGCAUAAAGCUACAGAACGAGAUGAGGAUGGUCAUUUCUCAUUUUGUGAGCUGCGAACGCGCAGAAAGCUACACAACAAGAUGAGGAUUGUCUUUGUCAAUUUCUGAGCUUCGAACUGGUAUAAAGCUACACAACCAGAUGAGGAUGGUCAUUGUCAUUUUCUGAGCUGCGAACGGGCAUAAAGCUACACAACGAGAUGAGGAUGGUCAUUUUCAUUUUGUGAGCUGCGAACGGGCAGAAAGCUACACAACGAGAUGAGGAUUGUCUUUGUCAAUGUCUGAGCUGCGAACAGGCAUAAAGCUACACAACGAGAUAAGGAUUGUUUUUGUCAAUGUCUGAGCUGCGAACGGGCAGAAAGCUACACAACAAGAUGAGGAUUGUCUUUGUCAAUUCCUGAGCUUCGAACAGGCAUAAAGCUACACAACCAGAUGAGGAUGGUCAUUGUCAUUUUGUGAGCUGCGAACGGGCAGAAAGCUCCACAACGAGAUGAGGGUGGUCUUUGUCAAUUUCUGAGCUGCGAACAAGCAUAAAGCUACAGAACGAGAUGAGGAUGGUCAUUUCUCAUUUUGUGAGCUGCGAACGCGCAGAAAGCUACACAACAAGAUGAGGAUUGUCUUUGUCAAUUUCUGAGCUUCGAACUGGUAUAAAUCUACACAACCAGAUGAGGAUGGUCAUUGUCAUUUUCUGAGCUGCGAACGGGCAUAAAGCUACACAACGAGAUGAGGAUGGUCAUUUUCAUUUUGUGAGCUGCGAACGGGCAGAAAGCUACACAACAAGAUGAGGAUUGUCUUUGUCAAUUUCUGAGCUUCGAACAGGCAUAAAGCUACACAACCAGAUGAGGAUGGUCAUUGUCAUUUUGUGAGCUGCGAACGGGCAGAAAGCUACACAACGAGAUGAGGAUGGUCAUUUUCAUUUUGUGAGCUGCGAACGGGCAGAAAGCUACACAACAAGAUGAGGAUUGUCUUUGUCAAUUUCUGAGCUUCGAACAGGCAUAAAGCUAGACAACGAGAUGAGGAUGGUCAUUUUCAUUUUGUGAGCUGCGAACGGGCAGAAAGCUACACAACAAGAUGAGGAUUGUCUUUGUCAAUUUCUGAGCUUCGAACAGGCAUAAAGCUACACAACGAGAUGAGGAUGGUCAUUUUCAUUUUGUGAGCUGCGAACGGGCAGAAAGCUACACAACAAGAUGAGGAUUGUCUUUGUCAAUUUCUGAGCUGCGAACAAGCAUAAAGCUACACAACCAGAUGAGGAUGGUCAUUUUCAUUUUGUGACCUGCGAACGGGCAGAAAAUGCCUCCAGUACCCGUAUCGAGAGCCUUGGAGUCGGGUAAUGGGCAUAUUGUCACCACAACACAAUGCACCAUAACAACACAAGAUAACACACCACAACAACAUUCAGCUCAAGACCAAAGUGGACGUUGUGAUGAGGUAAUGGCCUCAUCGCCGUCUUUGCCGUUGCCUCCCCCAGAACCACCACCUAUUACAUGUAUCCUUCAGUAACGUCUGGCACUAGCCAGUGUCCACACAGCUUUAAUCAUUCCCGUAGCUAUGCAGAAGACGUUGCUUCAGUAACGUCUGGCGCUAGCCAGGGUCCACACAGCUUUAAUUUGGUGUU